rnacentral:rRNA from 1 species
GACGAACGCUGGCGGCGUGCCUAAUACAUGCAAGUCGAGCGGAAGUUGAAGAGCUUGCUCUUCAACUUUAGCGGCGGACGGGUGAGUAACACGUGGGCAGCCUGCCCUGCAGAUCGGGAUAACUCCGGGAAACCGGUGCUAAUACCGAAUCGUUUUCGCCACCUCCUGGUGGCGUACGGAAAGACGGUUUCGGCUGUCACUGCAGGAUGGGCCCGCGGCGCAUUAGCUAGUUGGUGGGGUAACGGCCCACCAAGGCGACGAUGCGUAGCCGACCUGAGAGGGUGAUCGGCCACACUGGGACUGAGACACGGCCCAGACUCCUACGGGAGGCAGCAGUAGGGAAUCUUCCGCGAUGGACGAAAGUCUGACGGAGCAACGCCGCGUGAGUGACGAAGGUUUUCGGAUCGUAAAACUCUGUUGUGAGGGAAGAACAAGUACCAACUAACUACUGGUACCUUGACGGUACCUCACCAGAAAGCCACGGCUAACUACGUGCCAGCCGCCGCCGUAACAC